rnacentral:rRNA from 1 species
UGGGGAAUUUUGGACAAUGGGCGAAAGCCUGAUCCAGCAAUGCCGCGUGUGUGAAGAAGGCCUUCGGGUUGUAAAGCACUUUUGUCCGGAAAGAAAUCCUUGGCUCUAAUACAGUCGGGGGGAUUGACCGGUACCGGAAGAAUAAGCACCGGCUAACUACGUGCCAGCAGCCGCGGUAAUACGUAGGGUGCAAGCGUUAAUCGGAAUUACUGGGCGUAAAGCGUGCGCAGGCGGUUUGCUAAGACCGAUGUGAAAUCCCCGGGCUCAACCUGGGAACUGCAUUGGUGACUGGCAGGCUAGAGUAUGGCAGAGGGGGGUAGAAAUUCCACGUGUAGCAGUGAAAAUGCGUAGAGAUGUGGAGGAAUACCGAUGGCGAAGGCAGCCCCCUGGGCCAAUACUGACGCUCAUGCACGAAAAGCGUGGGGAGCAAAACAGGAUUAGAUACCCUGGUAGUCCACGCCCUAAAACGAUGUCAACUAGUUGUUGGGGAUUCA